AGAUCAUGGCUCAAGGAUGAACGCUAGCGGCAGGCUUAAUACAUGCAAGUCGUGGGGCAGCAGGUUUGUAGCAAUACAGAUGCUGGCGACCGGCAAACGGUGCGGAACACGUACAGAACCUUCCUUUGAGCGGGGAAUAGCCCAGAGAAAUUUGGAUUAAUACCCCAUAGUAUAAUGAAGUGGCAUCACUUUAUUAUUAAAGAUUUAUCACUCGAAGAUGGCUGUGCGGCUGAUUAGGUAGUUGGCGGGGUAAAGGCCCACCAAGCCUGCGAUCAGUAACUGGUGUGAGAGCACGACCAGUCACACGGGCACUGAGACACGGGCCCGACUCCUACGGGAGGCAGCAGUAAGGAAUAUUGGUCAAUGGAGGCAACUCUGAACCAGCCAUGCCGCGUGGAGGAUGAAGGUCCUCUGGAUUGUAAACUUCUUUUAUAUGGGACGAAAAAGGCUUUCUAAGUCGUCUGACGGUACCAUAUGAAUAAGCACCGGCUAACUCCGUG
rnacentral:rRNA from 1 species